UACGUAGGGGGCAAGCGUUGUCCGGAUUUAUUGGGCGUAAAGAGCGUGUAGGCGGCCAUUCAGGUCAGCUGUGAAAACUCGAGGCUCAACCUCGAGACGUCGGUUGAAACCGUUUGGCUAGAGUCCGGAAGAGGAGAGUGGAAUUCCCGGUGUAGCGGUGAAAUGCGCAGAUAUCGGGAGGAACACCGAUGGCGAAGGCAGCACUCUGGGCCGGCACUGACGCUGAGGAGCGAAAGCGUGGGGAGCGAACAGG
rnacentral:rRNA from 1 species